rnacentral:misc_RNA from 1 species
UCUCCGUUGGUGAACCAGCGGAGGGAUCAUUACAGGAUUCGCAAGUCUCCCGUAAACCCCUGUUAACAUACCUAUACUCGUUGCCUCGGCGGGUGCUCCGGUUCACUCCGGGGCACUACGCCCGCCGGUGGCCCGUUACUCUGUCUCGCGCGUUGGCAUCUCCGAGUACAUACAAAUAAGUUAAAACUUUCAACAACGGAUCUCUUGGUUCUGGCAUCGAUGAAGAACGCAGC